rnacentral:rRNA from 1 species
CGGGUGGUAAUGCCGGAUGCUCCAUCACACUGCAUGGUGUGUUGGGAAAGCCUUUGCGGCAUGGGAUGGGGUCGCGUCCUAUCAGCUUGAUGGCGGGGUAACGGCCCACCAUGGCUUCGACGGGUAGCCGGCCUGAGAGGGCGACCGGCCACAUUGGGACUGAGAUACGGCCCAGACUCCUACGGGAGGCAGCAGUGGGGAAUAUUGCACAAUGGGCGCAAGCCUGAUGCAGCGACGCCGCGUGAGGGAUGGAGGCCUUCGGGUUGUAAACCUCUUUUGUUAGGGAGCAAGGCAUUUUGUGUUGAGUGUACCUUUCGAAUAAGCACCGGCUAACUACGUGCCAGCAGCCGCGGUAAUACGUAGGGUGCAAGCGUUAUCCGGAAUUAUUGGGCGUAAAGGGCUCGUAGGCGGUUCGUCGCGUCCGGUGUGAAAGUCCAUCGCUUAACGGUGGAUCCGCGCCGGGUACGGGCGGGCUUGAGUGCGGUAGGGGAGACUGGAAUUCCCGGUGUAACGGUGGAAUGUGUAGAUAUCGG